rnacentral:sRNA from 1 species
GCUUAGAGAAACCUCCAGGAGACUGCUAUCAUGGCAGAGAAGCCCAAGCUCCACUACUCCAAUGCACGGGGCAGAAUGGAGUCCAUCCGGUGGCUCCUGGCUGCAGCUGGAGUAGAGUUUGAAGAGAAAUUUCUAGAAUCUGCAGAAGAUUUGGACAAGUUAAGAAAUGGAUUGAUAUGUACACAGAAGGUAUAGUAGAUUUGACUGAAAUGAUCGUUCUUCUGCUCGUAUGUCAACCAGAGGAAAGAGAUGCCAAGACCACCUUGGUCAAAGAGAAAAUAAAAAAUCGCUACUUCCCUGCCUUUGAAAAAGUCUUAAAGAGCCAGGGACAAGACUACCUUGUUGGCAACAAGCUGAGCCGGGCUGACAUUCACCUGGUGGAACUUCUCUACUACGUGGAAGAGCUUGACUCGAGUCUUAUCUCCAGCUUCCCUCUGCUGAAGGCCCUGAAAACCAGAAUCAGCAACCUGCCCACGGUGAAGAAGUUUCUGCAGCCUGGCAGCCAGAGAAAGCCUCCCAUGGAUGAGAAAUCUUUAGAAGAAGCAAGGAAGAUUUUCAGGUUUUAAUAAAGCAGCCAUGGAGGCCAAGAAUAUGCCAGACCAAUAUUCUACAGUUUGCAACAAUGAAGUGCUUUACCUAAGUGUGGAUUGCGCCUCUUGUAAAGCUAAUAAACUCUUUCCAAUUACAUGCUAAUUAAAUAAUAAAUAACUCUUAUUUGUCAACUUAGCUAAAAUUGGUUUGUUUUCAUUAGGAUCUGAU